GUCAAAAUCCGUGCCGUAAAUUGCGCGUUCCCGUGCGAUCGCGUAUACUUCGGGCGUUGACGUAACACAGUGUGCACUGCGGUCACCAGCCGCAAACGCUGUAAAAAAAACCUCGCUUCGGCGGGGUUUUUU
rnacentral:sRNA from 1 species